ACAACUUUCAGCAACGGAUGUCUAGGUUCCCACAACGAAUGAAUAACGCAGCGAAAUGCGAUACGUAAUGGGAAUUGCAAGACCUCUUGAAUCAUCCAAAUUUUGAACGACUCCACAUUGCGCUGCCGGGAAUUUCCUGGUAGCAUGCUUGUCUGAGUGUC
rnacentral:rRNA from 1 species